UGGGGAAUAUUGCACAAUGGGGGAAACCCUGAUGCAGCAACGCCGCGUGAAGGAUGAAGGUUUUCGGAUCGUAAACUUCUAUCAACAGGGACGAAACAAAUGACGGUACCUGAAUAAGAAGCCCCGGCUAACUACGUGCCAGCAGCCGCGGUAAUACGUAGGGGGCAAGCGUUAUCCGGAAUUACUGGGUGUAAAGGGAGCGUAGGCGGCACGUCAAGCCAGAUGUGAAAGCCCGGAGCUUAACCCCGUGGAUUGCAUUUGGAACUGGCGAGCUAGAGUACAGGAGAGGAAAGCGGAAUUCCUAGUGUAGCGGUGAAAUGCGUAGAUAUUAGGAAGAACACCAGUGGCGAAGGCGGCUUUCUGGACUGAAACUGACGCUGAGGCUCGAAAGCGUGGGGAGCAAACAGGAUUAGAUACC
rnacentral:rRNA from 1 species